GCGGGCGUGGCGAAAUUGGUAGACGCACUAGACUUAGGAUCUAGCGCUGCAAGGCAUGGGGGGUUCGAGUCCCUCCGCCCCGCA
rnacentral:tRNA from 1 species